CGAACCUGCGAUUCCGGUACAGCACUCUAACCAAGGUUACUUCAGGCCUUCUGGUAGAAAUCGAACCUGCGAUUCCCAUACAGCGCUCUAACCAAGGUUAUACUACAGGCCUUCUGGUAGGAAUCGAACCUGCGAUUCCGGUACAGCGCUCUAACCAAGGUUACUACAGGCCUUGUGGUAGGAAUCGAACCUGCGAUUCCGGUGCAGCGCUCUAACCAAGGUUACUACAGGCCUUGUGGUAGGAAUCGAACCUGCGAUUCCCAUACAGUGCUCUAACUAAGGUUAUACUACAGGCCUUCUGGUAGGAAUCGAACCUGUGAUUCCCAUACAGCGCUCUAACCAAGGUUAUACUACAGGCCUUCUGGUAGGAAUUGAACCUGUGAUUCCCAUACAGUGCUCUAACCAAGGUUAUACUACAGGCCUUCUGGUAGGAAUUGAACCUGUGAUUCCCAUACAGUGCUCUAACCAAGGUUAUACUACAGGCCUUCUGGUAGGAAUCGAACCUGCGAUUCCCAUACAGGGCUCUAACCAAGGUUAUACUACAGGCCUUCUAGUAGGAAUCGAACCUGCGAUUCCGGUACAGCACUCUAACCAAGGUUAUACUACAGGCCUUCUGGUA
rnacentral:lncRNA from 1 species